rnacentral:rRNA from 1 species
ACCCGCUGAAUUUAAGCAUAUCACUAAGCGGAGGAAAAGAAACUAACCAGGAUUCCCCUAGUAACGGCGAGUGAAGAGGGAAAAGCCCAGCACCGAAGCCUGCGGCAGGUUUGCUGUUAGGCAAUGUGGUGUUUGGGUCGGCUCGUGGGACCACCGCUCCACCCGAAGUCCAGCAUUGAGUAUGGUUACUGGAUUUGGCCCAGAGAGGGUGAAAGGCCCGUACCCGGGUGGAGUAUCAGACAUGUGAGUUGUGGUUCACCAGGUCGACCUUAGAGUCGGGUUGUUUGGGAAUGCAGCCCAAAGUGGGUGGUAAACUCCAUCCAAGGCUAAAUACUAGCACGAGUCCGAUAGCGAACAAGUACCGUGAGGGAAAGUUGAAAAGUACUCUGAAGAGAGAGUAAACAGUACGUGAAACCGCAUGCAGGUAAACGGGUGGCGUCAAGCUGCAAGCCCAGAGAAUUCAGCCGGCUAGGUUGUUGUGUAUGCGCCUGGCGCAUCUAUCAGUCAGAGUAUGCGAUUGGGUAGUCCACUAGAAAACAGUGGGCCUGUCCGCAAGGUCAGGAUAUGUGUACCGGGUGGGUGCCGGAGCAUGCUAUCCGUCUGGGGACUGUCUAGCCGGUGCACUUUCUCUGUGGUCAACACCACGACCGGUGGUACUGCCAGUCUACUGUGUCCAAGUCGCAUCUGGUAGGUCCUCGUGGCCAACUGGGUGUGAUCACAGGCAAUCUCAGUAAACGGCGUGAGGGUGUCUCGGCACUUUUGCGUGUUAUCGGCUACUGGUUGUCAACGGGUCUGCUCGAUGUUUGUUACAACCGACAUCUGGGGGUGGCCACGGUGGGACACRGUGGUAAGAAUAACUGUGCAGGGCACCGGGGUUGUCGGCCUCAAAUGCGUCCUACGUCCACGUUGUAAGUGAUGCUGUUUAGUUGGCGGUGUCGUUGCUGCCUGCUCGGUGCUGGGUGUGAUUGACGUGUCGCCUGCGAAAAGUAGGCCCGUCAGUGGCUCGGCCCGGGAUGGGUAGUUGACGGUGUUGUCGUCGUCGUGGGACGUGGUGGGCCCAAUAGUCAGUGGUGUAGUGGUAGACGAGCUACCCGACCCGUCUUGAAACACGGACCAAGGAGUUUAACAUGUAUGCGAGUCAAUGGGUCCUACGAAACCCAAAGGCGCAGUGAAAGUGAAGCUUCGACUUGUGUCUCGAAGUGAGGUGAGAUCCUGCUGUUUCUCGCACCAGUCUAAUGUGCCAGCAUCAGGCUAAGAGCAGUGGGCGCAUCACCGGCCCGUCCCAUGAUGUGGUCAUUGGAUGUCUGCGUUUGUUGCUGUUGGUGGUUGUUUUAAUUAAUGAUCACCUUCGGUAGCCGUGGUGCCAGUGCGUCAUCGGGGCGGUGCAUGAGCAUACACGUUGAGACCCGAAAGAUGGUGAACUAUGCUUGCGUAGGUUGAAGCCAGAGGAAACUCUGGUGGAGGACCGCAGCGAUUCUGACGUGCAAAUCGAUCGUCAAACGUGAGCAUAGGGGCGAAAGACUAAUCGAACCAUCUAGUAGCUGGUUCCCUCCGAAGUUUUCCCUCAGGAUAGC